rnacentral:rRNA from 1 species
CAGUCGCCACGGUAAUACGAAGGGGGCUAGCGUUGCUCGGAAUUACUGGGCGUAAAGGGCGCGUAGGCGGACAGUUCAGUCGGGGGUGAAAGCCCGGGGCUCAACCUCGGAAUUGCCUUCGAUACUGGCUGUCUUGAGUGUGAGAGAGGUGUGUGGAACUCCGAGUGUAGAGGUGAAAUUCGUAGAUAUUCGGAAGAACACCAGUGGCGAAGGCGACACACUGGCUCACUACUGACGCUGAGGCGCGAAAGCGUGGGGAGCAAACAGGAUUAGAUACCCGUGUAGUCCCUGUCUCUUAUAU